UGUUAUGUAUGCUCAUAUAUUGCUAAUUAGAUCUUCGAUUUAGUCAAUUAAACUUAAUUAAUUAUACUUUAACGCUCAAUUAAAGUUAUUUUUCUUGAGACAUGUGUAUUUAUUUAUCUAUUUAUUUUCGGUACCAAAUGGAGACCUAAGCAUAUCCAUUCAUACAUUUUAACUUCUACUCAAAACCCACCGCCUACCCCCCACCAUUAAUCCGUUGUUUCCUCCCUCGACGUUUCUUCCCCGUUGCCAGCGAUCGAAACCAGUGCUCGGCGUCUCCUCUCUCUCUCUCUCUCUGUCUCUCGGUGAAGGAUCUCUUCAUCUGCCCUCUUUUCUUUUUGGAGUUCGAGAUUGCUUCCGUUGAUCGACGUGGUAAACGUUUGUGGGGGGGAGGGGGUAUCGGAUGUCGAUUGCAGGGGGUGAAUUUGGUCGCGGUGGGGAUCGACGGCUGAUUCGAGUGUGAGGAAAUCGGGCAUGGGUUUCUUUCCAGGCUGAUUGGAUCGGCCUUCUUGUUUCGGUGGUUUCGGUGGGAUCUUCCCUCACUUUGAUCUUUGUUUGGGGGGCGAAUAUUUCGGAGGGAAGAUGGGGUAUUUGAACUCCAUCAGUGGGCUUCAAGCAGACGGUGCUCCGGUCAGCGGGGGAGGACUCAGUCAAGAUGGGAAGUUUGGUUAUGGGUAUGCAAGCUGUCCGGGGAAAAGAUCUUCGAUGGAAGACUUCUAUGAGACGCGAAUUGACAGCGUUGAUGGAGAAAUUGUUGGCUUGUUUGGGGUCUUUGAUGGUAAAAUUUCUGCAGUAUUUUGUUGUCUUUGUUAUGUUUAGAAUGUCUUAUCUUUUUUUUUUUUUGUAUUUGCAAAUUUUUGGUAAAACUGACAUAGAAAACCCAUUCAUUAACUUGCUUCUUUCAAUCCUUUUCUAGGGUAAAUUUCUCUCGUGGAGAGUUGCUUAUACAUUCAAUAUCCUAACGUUAGACUUUGAUGCUUUGAUGAGUGGUUAUGUAGGUCAUGGCGGUGCCCAAGUAGCAGAGUAUGUUAAACAAAACCUCUUCAGCAACUUACUCAGGCAUCCAAAGUUCAUUACCGAUACAAAAUCAGCUAUAGGUGGUGCUGAUUUGCAUUUUGUACUAUGAAAGAGCUUUUAGAGAACAAUAAUAUUUGGCUUAUGAAAUUCAUCUGUGCUGUUACCUUCAGCUGAUGCAUACAACCACACGGACGCAGAAUUUUUGAAAUCUGAGAACAGCCAGAACCGAGAGGCGGGUUCAACUGCAUCAACAGCUGUCCUUGUUGGUGAUCGUUUGCUCGUUGCAAAUGUUGGGGACUCUAGAGCUGUCAUAUGUAGAGGAGGAGAUGGUAGGCCCCUCAUCCUUAAAUCAGUUCUCUUAUCAUCAAUUAUGUGUAACGGAUUUCUGUACUUAAUCUAGAACUAAACCGGCUCAAUUUAGAUGGAGUUUACUGCAUUUUUUUUUACUAACUGUAUUCUGACAACCCAACCUAUUUAAGAGCAAUAUUUAGAAUGUGACACCAGUGACAUCUAGGUUCUUAGGAUAUAUGUAGGUUCUAGACCAACAAAGUUUUUUGGCCUUCUCUUGAUCCUGCCAAAUGCUAUAGUAGCUCUGUGUGUCUCUGGUGUACUGAACACAUUGAAACAAAUAAUCAUAUAGUUUCAGAUUCUUCAAAAAUAUAGUAAUAUAAAAAAGUAUAGACAGGAAGGAGAAAGAGAACAUAUUCCUGUUUGGAUUCACAGAAUUUAAGCCUGAAAUUGGAGAAUUGAACCUGCGAAAAAAUCUUCAGAAAUGGCUGAAACUGCACACUUAUGGUGAUAAAUGAGGAUUUAAAUUGUUGAUGAUGGAUGAGGUGCUAAAGUUCAUUACGCUCUCGUAUUGCAUGUACUCUUUUUGAAAUGAGAUUUGAAGAUUAAUAGUUUACUAGCAAGUUAAACAGGAUUGGAAACUUAAUAUUAAGUUAUCCAAUUUUUACACAGCAUUAUUUAAAGAAUAAUAAUCACUUUUUUAUGCUACUUCUAUAAGCCAUUGCACUUAAUGUCUUUAUGACUUAUCGAUGCUACAGUGGUUUCAUAGCUACAUACUUUUGGUGAAAUUGUAUACUAAUAGUUUAGUCAUGUUAUCUUGUCUUUAAUGUAUGAUCUAAGAACUAUUUUUUGUUCAUCGCUUGAGUGUUGUUCCUUGAUGAAACUUUCCAUUUAGCGCUGUACAUAGUAGGUUUUGGUACCACUUUAGAUGUAUGACAUGUCUUGGAAUCUACAAAUGGGAUUUUUAUUGGUGUGAUUUAUUAUUCUACGGUCUUUUAUCCUCCAGUCCACAUUUUGUUGGUUAUAUUUCUUGCAUUCUGGAAUUGACCCUUGUCAAAACCAUCUAAUCGUAGACUUCGACGAUCGGGAGUUUAACUAUUCACGCCAAUGACAAAACAGGAUGACAAUGGAAGUUGAUGUUUCCUUAAUCCUGAAGCUUGUCAUAAGCAUAUUUCUCCAUUAUUUGUUUUGUUCAGUGUUAAAGAAUAUAUUUUUUAUAUGGAACUUUAGGUAGAUAUUAUUGUGUCUCCAUUAUUUUUUCUUGCCAAAUUUACAUAUUUUUUAUCAAAAAUCAUCCCUCAUGUAUGUAGAGCUUGGUAUUUAACAUUUUACAUAUUUCCAUAAUCAUUAUCCGUGAUCUACCAUUUGCUUUUGUUUGGAUGUUUGCUUGCCCAUUUGUUCAUCUCAUGGUUCAAUUACUAUAUGUGGUCAUCUUUAGUUUGAGAUUAUUGCCUUCUAACUAGAUUCAAAUUUCUGAUUGAUUUAUGAAUGGCAAUAAACAGUACUGUGUGGUGCUGUUGACAUACUUGUUGUCAUUGAAUCCUGUUGUUUAUGUUUGUUCUUAUGCCCGUUGAGGUUGUUCUGUAUUCUUUAUAAGAUAUCCAUGCAAUCUCUUCUCAUUUCAAUUGAUUGGGUCGAAAAAUCAAUCUAGAAUUUGUUGCAUCACUCGAUCCAGUUAUCUUGAAAAUUGUAACUAAUAAAGACUUUUUAUUUAGCAUAUUAAAAGCUGCUUGUGGUUCUAAUUUUCGUUGUUUUUUUUUUCCCACUUUUUCUUUGUUAAAUCGAGUUUGGCAUCUCAACUUGUGCUCAAUUAAUACAAAAGUUUAUGUAUUCUAUGAACCUCUUGAUACAAACAUCUGAUUCUUGGUUUUUCAGUGGCAUCAGUUGCAACAAGUCCUUUUCUGAGGCAAACAGUUGUGCCAAUUUCUUGUAGAGCACCCAUUUUACUUGCAAGUUCUGUUUCUUGGUUCUUACAAUAUAUUGCAAAAGCAAUUUUCUGAUCAUGAUAGAGUAGUUGACCAAACGAACUUCUGGGUGCUUCAUAAUUUAGAGAAAAAAGUCUUUUGUUCCCCAUAUGGUAAGUUUUGCUUCUAGUUUGUGCAGUAGAUUGCAACGGCAAUUCUUCUGAUUGCUUGGUAAUUUAGAGAAAGAAACCUUUUGUCCCUCGUGCAUCAUGGUCAAAAGCCAGUUCUUGGUACUUUGAACAACAGAGACCUGGCAAAUCAACCUGUUGUGGUACUUGGUUGAUGUGAGCUCUCAUAAUUAAACCAAUCACUCUAUUUUGAUGGUGAUAAUAUGGAGAUGAUUUUCUCUGGAUGUGCUUGAAGGUUCUGUUUUUAACAAAUUCAGUAUCUGAAAUAGAAUACAAUCACCAGAAUCUUGUAUUGAAUUAUUGAUUGAGCCUCUUAAAAGUUUAGUUCUUUACUAGGAACUCGGCUCACGCUAUUUUUUGUAACUUUUGCAGCUAUAGCUGUCUCAAGGGAUCACAAGCCUGACCAAACAGAUGAGAGAGCAAAGGAUUGAGGAUGCUGGGGGCUUUGUAAUGUGGGCUGGGACAUGGCGUGUCGGUGGUGUUCUUGCCGUUUCUCGUGCAUUUGGUGAUAGGCACCUGAAACAGUUUGUUGUCGCAGAUCCAGAAAUUCAUGUGGAAGCGGUUGAUGGAUCUCUCGAAUUCCUCAUCCUUGCAAGUGACUGAUUGUGGGAUGUUGUCACGAACGAAUGAGGAGGCGGUGGUAGCUAUUGUCAAACCCCUACAAGAUCCAGAACAAGCAGCAAAGAAACUGUUACAGGAGGCCUAUCAAAGGGGUAGUUCUGACAACAUCACUUGGUGUCGUGGUACAGUUUCUUGGCUAGCCUUGAUAACACAACCGAGCAGCAAUAGGUACAAAUUGUCUGCUUGAUCUUUGUUAUCGCUUUGUUAUCUGUAAUGGUUUAGUGGAGUCUGUAUCAUGCUGUUUUCACUUUUGUUAGAAUAAUCAAUAAGAUUGUUUGGUUAGAGUGCCUAAAUUUCUUCCUGAAUAGUCGUUUAUAUAUACAUACCAUUUUUACCAUUUGGAAUUUACUCCUGCAAUUAAAGUAGCUCAAGUUUGGUAAUUUAAGCCUCAAGGAACAAUUUUGAUAUGCCCCCUAUGAAAGCAAAAUGAGACCCAUGAAAGAAGGUCUCUUAUUGAGUUUGUAUUAUAAAUGUUGGCAGGAAGAUUAGUUUCACAUGGAUACAGAAUUGAAGUGUCUAAUGAUACAUAGUGGAGUUUGAUUGUGAUAGUUUCCAUGGUAACUUUGACCAUUUUGACGUAGAUUCAAAGGUAAAGCCGUAUAACCAUUCUUCGUGAUUGAUCCAUCAAAGGGUCAUGCCCAUGUCUUAUCUAGCGUGGCAGAUGCGCGGAUGUGUUUGAAUAGAAUAGAAUAGAAUAGAAUCUAACCUAUUAAUUUGUUGUUUGCGCCCAUUAACAAAAAUUAUAGGUCCCAUGGCAUCCAAGAAGGAUAGGAACAUCGAAGUUACUUUUUAUUAACCCUACACAGUUUGCCUCGUGCAAAAGAGUCUACCUUAGCCUUCAUAUUCUCCUCGUCUGUUGUCGACACAACCUUUCUUGACUCGGACACAAAAAAAAGGAAGAGAAAAAUAAACCAAAAGAAGGCUAAUGGAGUUGGGGACAACGACCGAUGGAAUGAACAAGUUGAUCGACCCACUGCCGACGACGCUUUCAGCAGAGCAGCGAGAACAGAAAAAAGGAGACGAAAAGUUGGUUCACCGGGGAAAUGGAGGAGGGUGCCGAAAGCGGCGUUAAGACGUGGAUCCUGGCAUUUCUCUUUUGUCGAGGACAGCCGUAGAGAUGCCACAACGUCGAAGCUGCUGCCUCGCUCCUCCAAUUUACUCCUUCGCCCUUCCCUCUCCCUCCAAAUUUGCUGCUCAGCUUCUUCUCCUCUUCUCCUCCACCACAAGGAUUCCUCUCCGAGCCGACCACCUUGUGAGCCAUGGGCUCCGAGGCGGUCGUCGUCGUCGUAGGUGAAUUGCCUCUGCUUCCGCCCAUAAAGACUGCGCCGACGCGGGACAAGCCCGUGGAAGGCCGUCCCGAUGCUGCCGAAACCGAAGAGGAAGAGUGCGUCACACCAAAAGGCGGAAGAGACCGUUCUCAAGCCCGUCCUUGUUUGUACGCCGGCGAAGAGAAAGCCGAAGCCGGCGAAGAGGGUACCGCCGGCUCCUUCCAUGGAAUUCCACGCCGUUACUCCCGAUCUUACCUCGGUCUUCCUUCCUCUCCCUCCCAAGAAGAGAAUUCGUGUAGUUUGAUCUGAAGUUUCUUCACCAAUCUCCUGUAACUCCUUCUGUUCCCCUUCUGUUUUCCCGUGUGCCUGGUAAAAGAUUUUAUUUCCUUUUAUUGUUUUCUUUUCUUCCUUAGACGAAACAAAGACCAUCAAGCACUUUGUGUAACAUGAGGAGAACUGUCCUCCACAUCAUGCUGCAAUGUGUACAUAUAUCGGACA